rnacentral:tRNA from 1 species
GGGGAUAUAGCUCAGUUGGUAGAGUGUUAGCCUCGCAUGCACAAAGCCCUGGGUUCAAUCCCCAGCACUGCCCCCA